GAGGCUAUAUAAGCACCACAUCCACCUUUUCGGUCUUCUUGGCAAACAGAUGCGUCAUUCAAACGAUUCUUGAUAAAAAGCAUCAUGCCCUCAUGAGUUUAAAGUCGUAGAAAAUUAGCCUCACAAAGCAAAGGUCCUCCAAAGUAUAACAACCCUUAUAAAUUAGGUAACAUCAUCUCCAUUGGGAAUCCGAAUUGGUUGAACACGAAAAACAAAGUUGCCUAACAUUGGAACCAAGCUUGAAAGAACAGACUCUCCAACAAUGUACAAUAAAAGUAAACUAACCUUAGUCUACUAUUAACAUAUUAUACACAAACAAAAUAAUUAGUCGAUUCUUACUUCUAUGUAGAGGCUCAGAAUACGAGGGAAAACAUCCUUAACGGGAUACUUAAAGAUUUUUAUAACUUGUUGGUCAAAAGUAGUUAAUAAUACAAUUUCUUUGCUAGCAUCAACUACUUCAAAAGUCAAAGAGCAUCUGCAAUCAAUAAAAUGAGAACUUAAAAUACAACCAAUCUAACCACAAAAAUCAGAGACCACAAAUAUAUUUUUAUACAUACCUAACUGUAGCAUAAUCUUGCCCAAUGCAGAGAGGACACCUAAAGCUCUUCGACUCUCGAAUGGUAACAAUACCAUUACUUGUUUCACAUGUAGCGUAAAACACACAAGCCUUAAUGCUAUGAAUGUCAGCCUCUAGUAAGAAUGCGACAGGCUGAACGGGAAAAAAGCAGCAACAUAUUCAUAAACGUUGAGAUCUAAGAAAGAAGGCUUGAAGAACACACCACACAAAUAUAACGAAACUAAAAAAAUAUAAGCAAAGACACAUAUGCAAUUGUUGCAAAAGACAUCAACCAACAAAACAUAUUCAUGCACAAUACAAAAGACUAAACAACAAGGUAAACCUUAUUAAAUAUUUCAGACCCAAAAAUAACAUUCAACAACACAAACUUAUUUUCUGCACUAACUCAAACAAAGACAUUAGACAGAGAGCAAUAAACUAAAGCAAGAAAGCUAAGAUAAUAACAAAAACUUUGAAAGUAUUCAUCUAUUACUCUUAUCCAUGACACAAAUUUUUACUUCAUGGUGAUCCAAAAACGUAUCAGAAACCAAAGAGAAAAUAGUGCUCUUAGUUGCAAUUUUUAGUUCUUCAAGUUUCCUAUAAGAAAAAUUGAUCACCACAAAUUUUCUAGGUAAAAAUGCUUAAAUCAGAAAUAAUUAAAUAAAAAAGACAGGUCACAUUUAUAUACCUUUCAAGAAAGGCUAUAUAAACCCCACAUUCACAUUUUCGGUCUUCUUGGCAAACAGAUGUCUCCUUCAAACGAUUCUUGAUAAAAAGCAUCUCGUCCUCAUGAGGUUGAAGUCCUAGAAAAUUAGCCUUACAAUGCAAAGGUCCUCCAAAGUACAACAACCCGUAUAAAUUAGGUAACAUCAUCUCCAUUGGGAAUCAGAAUUGGUUGAACACAAAAAACAAAGCUUCCCAACAUUGGAACCAAGCUUGGGAGAACCACUUGGAAGAAGAGACUCCGCACCACUCUACAACAAAAGUAAACUAACCUUAAUAUACUAUUAACACAUUAUACACAGACAAAAUAAUUAGUCAAUUCUUACUUCUGCGUAAAGACUCAGAAUACGAUGGAAAACAUCCUCAACGGGAUACGUAAAGAUUCUCCCAACUUGUUGGUCAAAAACAGUUAAUAAUAUCAUUUCCUUGCUAGCAUCAACUACUUCAAAAGUCAAAGAGCAUCUGCAAUCAAUAAAAUGGGAACUUAAAAUACAACCAAUCUAACCAUAAAAAAUUAGAGACCACAAAUAUAUUUUUAUACAUACCUAACUGUAGCAUAAUCUUGCCCAAUGCAGAGAGCACACCUAAAGCUCUUUGACUCUCGAAUGGUAACCAUACCAUUAUUUGUUUCAUAUGUAACGUAAAACACAAAAUCUUUAAUGCUAUGAAUGCCAGCCUCCAGCAAGAAUGUGACAGGCUGAACAGGGAAAAAGUAGCAACAUAUUUAUAAAUGUUGAGAUCUAAGAAAGAAGGCUUGAAGAACACAUUAUACAAACAUAACGAAACCAAAAUAAUAUAAGCAAAGACAAAUAUGCUAUUGUUGCAAAAGACAUCAACCAACAAAACACAUUCAUGCACAAUACGAAAGACUAAAGAACAAGGUAAACCUUAUUAAAUGUUCCAGGUCUAAAAAUAACAUUCAACAAGACAAACCUAUUUUCUGCACCAACUCAAACAAAGUCAUCAUAUAGAGAGCAACAAACUCAAGCAAGAAAGCUAAGAUAAUAACAAAAACUUUAAAAGCAUUCAUCUAUUAAUCUUAUCCAUGACACAAAAUUUUACCACAUGGUGACCUAAAAACGGAUCAAAAAUAAGAGAGAAAAUAAUGCUCUUACUUGCACUUUUUAGUUCUUUAAGUUGUCUACAAGAAAAAUUCAUCACCACAAAAUUUCUAGGUAAAAAUGCUUAAACUAGAAACAAUUAAAUAAAAAAGACAUGUCACAUUUAUAUACCUUUCAUGAGAGGAUAUAUAAGCCACACAUCCACCUUUUGCGUCUUCUUGGCAAACAGAUGCCUCCUUCAAACGAUUCUUGAUAAAAAGCACCACGUCCUCAUGAGUUUUAAGUCGUAGAAAAUUAGCCUGACAAAGCAAAGAUCCUCUAAAGUUCAACAACCCAAAGAAAUUAGGUAACACCAUCUCCAUUGGGAAUAAGAAUUGGUUGAACACGAAAAAUAAAGUUGUCCAACAUUGGAACCAAGCUUAGAAGAACAGACUCAACAACACUCUACACAAAAGUAAACUAACCUUAGUCUACUAUUAUUACAUUAUACAGAGACAAAAUAAUUAGUCGAUUCGUACUUCUGCGUAGAGACUCAGAAUACAAGGGAAAGCAUCCUCAACGGGAUACUUAAAGAUUCUCCCAACUUGUUGGUGAAAAGCAGUUAAUAAUACAAUUUUCUUGCUAGCAUCAACAAUUCAAAAGUUAAAGAGCAUCUUCAAUCAAUAAAAUGAGAACUUAAAAAUACAACCAAUCUAACCACAAAAAUCAGAGACAACAAAUAUAUUUUUAUACAUACCUAACUGUAGCAUAAUCUUGCCCAAUGCUCAGAGCACAACUAAAGCUCUUCGACUCUCGAAUGGUAACCAUACCAUUACUUGUUUCAUAAGUAACGUAAAAUACACAAUCCUUAAUGUUAUGAAUGUCAGCCUCCAUCAAGAAUGUGACAGGCUGAACAGGGAAAAGGCAACAACAUAUUCAUACAUGUUGAGACCUAAGAAAAAAGGCUUGAAGAAUACACCACACAAAUAUAACGAAACCAAAAACAACAUAAGCAAAGACACAUAUGCUAUUGUUGCAAAAGACAUCAACCAACAAAACACAUUCAUGCACAAUACGAAAGACUAAACAACAAGGUAAAACUUAUUAAACAUUCCAGGCCUAAAAACAACAUUCAACAACACAAACCUAUUUGCUGCACUAACUCAAACAAAGACAUCAGACAAAGAGCAACAAACUCAAGCAAAAAAGCAAAGAUAAUAACAAAAAUUUUAAAAGUAUUCAUCUAUUACUCUUAUCCAUGACACGAAUCUUUACUUCAUGGUGAUCCAAAAACGGAUCAAAAAUUAGAGAAGAAAUAGUGCUCUUUGUUGCAAUAUUUAGUUCUUCAAGUUGUCUACAAAAGAAAUUCAUCAACAUAAAUUUUCUAGAUAAAAAUGCUAAAACCAAAAAUAAUUAAAUAAAAAUGACAGGUCGUAUUUAAAUAACUUUCAAGGGAGGCUAUAUAAGCCCCACACCCACCUUUUAGGUCUUCUUGGCAAACAUAUGACUCCUUCAAACAAUUCUUGAUAAAAAGCAUCCCGUCCUCAUGAGUUUGAAGUCAUAGAAAAUUAGCCUUACAAAGAAAAGGUCCUCCAAAGUACAACAACCCGUAUAAAUUAGGUAACAUCAUCUCCAUUGGAAAUCAGAAUUGGUUGAACACAAAAAAUAAAGUUACCAAACAUCGGAACCAAGCUUAGAAGAACGACUUGGAAGAACA
rnacentral:lncRNA from 1 species